UCAAAUUGGACACUUAUUGUGAACCGGGGGAGUAUGAAUUUUUGUUGAACUUGCUUCAUAUAUCUGUCUGGCACUAUCAAUUUCUUGAAGUUUAGAGUUGCGAUCAUUUAGCGAAUAAGCCAAUCCCUGCGUGACGCAGAAAAUCGAAGAGGAGAUGACCAGGUUGCUGUCUAGAACUCUAAACGUGACAGAAGUUUACCGAAAUUUAGGCAUUUGGUUGAGCGUCAUACUUAAUCUAUUCUCUAGUAUUUAGAUACUACUACUGAUAAUUCUCAGACUUUUGGUUCAUUUUAUUAAGUUUCAGGUUAGGGUUAUUCAUUUUUGAUUUAUGUUCUAUUUUGUUCACUGGAUUGAAUUUCCAGUUAAAUGCCAUUAACAGGGUUGCAAUCUUUUCUCUUAUUUUCGUUCUAUUCCAUUCCUACCAACUGUUUGAGUGAAUGCCUUAGAGGAUUAGAUUAUUGACAUUGUUUGGGUGUUCAAUUUGUUCUUACUGUUGCAGAACCUUGAAAUCCACUAACCACACAUGGUAUACUGAUGCACUAGUCGAUGCAAAAGGUAAAUGAGUUACUAAAUUAUAGGGCUAUCUUUUUCACUACUAAAUUGCGUGAUGCUAUUUCCAACAGGAUAUGAACAUACGGUUACUUAUCUUCUGUUAAGAGUUGUUUGGUUGUGCUUGAUGGUGACUCUAAUCCAAACAACACGGCAGAUUGGACUGGAAAAGAAGCUUGUGGAUACUUGUUCGUGAGAGAAAAGCUUAUAGAAAGCAUUGUCCACCAUUCUUGGGACAUUGAAAUUUGGAAGUUAGGAAAAGAUUGCCAAAGAUGUUUUGUCACCUAAACAGCUGGCUGAGAAGGGGAUAUCAUCUGUCAAACACUUCCUACAGUUAUAUGUAAUUCCAUCUUUGUUAGUGGAAUGAUCUUUUGCAUAGGCUUAUAAUGUCAAAUUGAUACAUUGCUUUUGAGCUUCUAAUGUUGAAUUGGUUUUUAUGUUUUCUUGUAGAAGGUAGCAGACGCAUGACUUUAUAUAUAUUUUCAAAAUAUUGUACAAGUUCUUGGAAUACUUUAAAAGAAAGCGAGAGCAACUAAUGUAAAGGAAUCGUUGACUCGGGGAAAACAUGGAGACUAUAGCUUUUUCAUCAAAAGGACGAAAUUAAAGCUAUGGCCAACGUAGAUUGUUUUGGACGUUUAACAACAAUAACAAUAACAUAUCUAGUAUAAUCCCAUAUAGUGGGGUCUGAGGAGAAUAGUGUGUACACAGACCUUACCCGGGAGAGUAGUGUGGACGCUUAAGGGAAAGUUACUUAAUUGUAUGUUGAAGUAACUUAUAGUUGGUUCAAAUUGUUUGAAGUGUACUGGAAAGUGUUGAAAUAAGAAUGGAUGUUAUU